rnacentral:tRNA from 1 species
AGCAGAGUGGCCUAAUGGAAGCGUGCUGGGCCAAUAACCCAGAGGUCCGUGAAUCGAAACCUCACUCUGCUA